CAUAUUUCAGUGUGAAAACGACUUGAAGCAAGUCCAGUCAAAGGUAUUAAUUAAUUUUCCAGUUGGAUAUAUAUUAAUUUUGCCACAGCUUCAUAUUUGUAGUGAUUUUAACUCAUUAAUGGACCUCAAUGGACCUAUUCCCUAAUUAACAAAAUUUUGAUCUAGACAAGUCUGGACAAAAGUUUCAUAACAGCUUGAGCAUCACAAAAUUAGUAAUAUUCCGAAGUUUCGUUGCGAAAUGUUGUAAAAUGCGGAUAAUAUAGCCCUGCGAAGUUUGCCGUUUUUCAGUCAUUUUGUAUUACGCGGGGGGAAAUUGAUACCUUUUCUCAGAAUGCGGUAUCAAACCGAAAUGACUGAAAAUUGCAAACUUCGCAAGGCUAUAUUAUCCGCAUUUUACAACAUUUCGCAACGAAGAUUCGGAAUAUUACUAAUUUUGUGAUGCUCUUUCAAGCUGUUAUGAAAUUUUUGUCUAAACUUGUCGAGAUCAAAAUUUUUUGUUCAUUAGCGAAUAGGUCCUUUAAGCGGCAAUUGUGGCCUCUUACAACUUUACUCUUUCUAACAUUGCAGCAUGCAGAUGAGUUGAAGCAAUUCAAGACAAAGGUCAGUUUAACUUUCUUGAAAAAAAAUAUAAUAUAUUAGGUGGCGCAGACGUCAGAGCAAGCGCCUUUCACCUCUGAGGUCGUGGGUUUGAUUCUCGCUACGGACUCGUGUGAAAAGAGUCAGACAACCCUCUGCCGAAAGUCGUGGGUUUUCUCCGGGUGCUCCGGUUUCCUCCCACAGGGAAAGUCGACAGGGUGGGUUGGGAUAAGAACACAGUUAGGAACGUAAUAUCAUAAUUGUUGUAAAGAUAAAUAGUCUAGGCUAAGUAAGUAACAUAAGUAAGCUAAUAGUUGAUGUAAUCGGUCACUGAAAAGCCCCAAUGGGGAGUGAGCUGUAUAAUAACGUAAUGUGAUGUAUCUUAAGCCUGGUUCACAUAAAAUCGUUAAGCAGUCGCAGACUGUCGCAGACAUGUGCUGAAUUUUUAUAUGAACGAUCUGCGACGGAUCGGGAAAGUUGAACCAAGUUCAACUUUCCCGA